rnacentral:rRNA from 1 species
CGAGCGGCGACGGGUGAGUAACACGUGGGUGAUCUGCCCUGUACUUCGGGAUAAGCCUGGGAAACUGGGUCUAAUACCGGAUAUGAGCCGAGGUUGCAUGACCUCGGUUGGAAAGAUUUAUCGGUACAGGAUGGGCCCGCGGCCUAUCAGCUUGUUGGUGGGGUAAUGGCCUACCAAGGCGACGACGGGUAGCCGACCUGAGAGGGUGACCGGCCACACUGGGACUGAGACACGGCCCAGACUCCUACGGGAGGCAGCAGUGGGGAAUAUUGCACAAUGGGCGGAAGCCUGAUGCAGCGACGCCGCGUGAGGGAUGACGGCCUUCGGGUUGUAAACCUCUUUCGACAGGGACGAAGCGCAAGUGACGGUACCUGUAGAAGAAGCACCGGCCAACUACGUGCCAGCAGCCGCGGUAAUACGUAGGGUGCGAGCGUUGUCCGGAAUUACUGGGCGUAAAGAGCUUGUAGGCGGUUUGUCGCGUCGUUUGUGAAAACUUGGGGCUCAACCCCAAGCUUGCAGGCGAUACGGGCAGACUAGAGUACUUCAGGGGAGACUGGAAUUCCUGGUGUAGCGGUGAAAUGCGCAGAUAUCAGGAGGAACACCGGUGGCGAAGGCGGGUCUCUGGGAAGUAACUGACGCUGAGAAGCGAAAGCGUGGGGUAGCGAACAGGAUUAGAUACCCUGGUAGUCCACGCCGUAAACGGUGGGUACUAGGUGUGGGUUUCCUUCCACGGGAUCCGUGCCGUAGCUAACGCAUUAGUACCCCGCCUGGGGAGUACGGCCGCAGGCUAAACUCAAAGGAAUUGACGGGGCCCGCACAAGCGGCGGAGCAUGGUG